GAUGAACGCUGACAGAAUGCUUAACACAUGCAAGUCAACUUGAACUUCGGUUUGGGUGGCGGACGGGUGAGUAACGCGUAAAGAACUUGCCUCACAGAUAGGGACAACAUUUGGAAACGAAUGCUAAUACCUGAUAUUAUGAUUUUAGGGCAUCCUAGAAUUAUGAAAGCUAUAUGCGCUAUGAGAGAGCUUUGCGUCCCAUUAGCUAGUUGGAGAGGUAACGGCUCACCAAGGCGAUGAUGGGUAGCCAGCCUGAGAGGGUGAUCGGCCACAAGGGGACUGAGACACGGCCCUUACUCCUACGGGAGGCAGCAGUGGGGAAUAUUGGACAAUGGACCAAGAGUCUGAUCCAGCAAUUCUGUGUGCACGAUGAAGUUUUUCGGAAUGUAAAGUGCUUUCAGUUGGGAAGAAAAAAAUGACGGUACCAACAGAAGAAGUGACGGCUAAAUACGUGCCAGCAGCCGCGGUAAUACGUAUGUCACAAGCGUUAUCCGGAUUUAUUGGGCGUAAAGCGCGUCUAGGUGGUUAUAUAAGUCUGAUGUGAAAAUGCAGGGCUCAACUCUGUAUUGCGUUGGAAACUGUGUAACUAGAGUACUGGAGAGGUAAGCGGAACUACAAGUGUAGAGGUGAAAUUCGUAGAUAUUUGUAGGAAUGCCGAUGGGGAAGCCAGCUUACUGGACAGAUACUGACGCUGAAGCGCGAAAGCGUGGGUAGCAAACAGG
rnacentral:rRNA from 1 species